GGGCAGUUGGCAGAGUGGUUGAUUGCGGCGGACUGUAACUCCGUUCCUCCUUGUGGGGCUCAGUGGUUCGAAUCCAUUACUGCCCAC
rnacentral:tRNA from 1 species